CCUUGGGAGCUGAGUGGCCUCGGGAACUGCACGGCCUCGGGAGCUGCGUGGCCUCGGGAGCUGCACGGCCUCGGGAGCUGCACGGACAAACUGACCUACUCAAAGAAAAUAGCCUUUGACCGGGUGAUGCUCCUGAGACGGCUGAAGGAGGAAGAGGUAAUUGUCCUAAAGGAAGUCCAGCAGCACUGGGAAAGCCUAAAGAGGGAAUCGGAGAAUGUGCAAGACCUUGCUUCACAUGUGGCACCUGACCUAAGCAGGCAAAGUUUGGGUGGGUGCAGUUUGCAUUGGGUGGAAAGUGAUUCCAUUUGUUUUGUAGAUGUGCUUCAUCUGCCUUCCUAAGGAAAAAUAGUUUGAACAUUUUAUGGAAAAUAAAGGUUUAUGUUUC